GAUGAACGCUGACAGAAUGCUUAACACAUGCAAGUCGACUUGAAUUUGGGUUUUUAACUUAGGUUGGGGUGGCGGACGGGUGAGUAACGCGUAAAGAACUUGCCUCCCAGCUAGGGACAACAUUUGGAAACGAAUGCUAAUACCUAAUAUUAGCAUAAUAGGCCAUCCUAUAAUUAUGAAAGCUAUAAGCGAUGUGAGAGAACUUUGCGUCCCAUUAGCUAGUUGGUGAGGUAACGGCUCACCAAGGCGAUGAUGGGUAGCCGGCCUGAGAGGGUGAUAGGAAACAAGGGGAUUGAGACACGGCCCGUACCCAUCCGGGAGGCAGGAGUGGGGAAGGUUGGACAAUGGACCGAGAGGAUGAUUGAGCCAUUGUGUGUGCAUGAUGGAGUAUUUAGGAAGGUAAAGAGAUUUCAGUUAGGAAGAAACAAAUGACGGUACCAACAGAAGAAGUGACGGCUAAAUACGUG
rnacentral:rRNA from 1 species